rnacentral:rRNA from 1 species
GACGAACGCUGGCGGCGCGCCUAAUACAUGCAAGUCGAGCGAGCUUGCCUAGAUGAAUUUGGUGCUUGCACCAAAUGAAACUAGAUACAAGCGAGCGGCGGACGGGUGAGUAACACGUGGGUAACCUGCCCAAGAGACUGGGAUAACACCUGGAAACAGAUGCUAAUACCGGAUAACAACACUAGACGCAUGUCUAGAGUUUAAAAGAUGGUUCUGCUAUCACUCUUGGAUGGACCUGCGGUGCAUUAGCUAGUUGGUAAGGUAACGGCUUACCAAGGCAAUGAUGCAUAGCCGAGUUGAGAGACUGAUCGGCCACAUUGGGACUGAGACACGGCCCAAACUCCUACGGGAGGCAGCAGUAGGGAAUCUUCCACAAUGGACGCAAGUCUGAUGGAGCAACGCCGCGUGAGUGAAGAAGGGUUUCGGCUCGUAAAGCUCUGUUGGUAGUGAAGAAAGAUAGAGGUAGUAACUGGCCUUUAUUUGACGGUAAUUACUUAGAAAGUCACGGCUAACUACGUGCCAGCAGCCGCGGUAAUACGUAGGUGGCAAGCGUUGUCCGGAUUUAUUGGGCGUAAAGCGAGUGCAGGCGGUUCAAUAAGUCUGAUGUGAAAGCCUUCGGCUCAACCGGAGAAUUGCAUCAGAAACUGUUGAACUUGAGUGCAGAAGAGGAGAGUGGAACUCCAUGUGUAGCGGUGGAAUGCGUAGAUAUAUGGAAGAACACCAGUGGCGAAGGCGGCUCUCUGGUCUGCAACUGACGCUGAGGCUCGAAAGCAUGGGUAGCGAACAGG